GGAGUUUGCAGCUUGCUCAACCCAGCGUCUUCGUUCCUGCCUGAAAUCUAGUUUUCCCAUGCAGGAGGAAAGCAAACAAAUGUUAUGGACAGAAUAUAUAAAACAGAACAGGAAUGGGGAAAGCAUGCUGCGUGGGAACCGAAGGAGGCUGGGCUCAAACAUAGGAUCUCAAGAAGAACCACAGGCUAGGAUUCCAGAUGACCAGGCUUUGGAACAAUUGAAGGUUUUCAACCUGAAUUGCGUCAGUAGUGUGAGCAAUUCAAGUCACCCUGUAUUGAGGUAUUUGCUGUUUGGGGUUACUUCAGUAAAAACCAUGGUGUUUUUGACAAGGAAUUGAGCAUGAAUGGAGUUCAGCUUGAAGAUUUUGGCUGCAGGCAAAUAACAGAGAUACAAUCUCUCUGCCCUGAUCAUAUCUAACAACUGCUGUGUGUGCGUGUUUAUGUGUGUGUCCAAGUGUGAUCUUUGUUUGUGUGUGCGCACAUGCACUCGCGCAUGAGUGUGCGUGCGUACAUGCAUUCUUGAAAGCGUGUGUGUUUGUUACAGGCCUGCUACCUUGUUUUUAGCCUUUGUGCUGAAAUAAGAGAUUGUGCUUCUACUUCUGGCCUUUUGCUUUCAUUCUCUUCACAUGAUGUGUAAAUUGAUGAGUCCUUGUUAAUCAAAUCUUACAAAACAUCAUACUACACGGAGUGGUACGGCAGAGGCUAAAUUUUUCAAUUGUACAAGCCAUCUUUGUGGGUAAAUUAGAUUGAAAUUCUAGCACAAACAGUGUGUUAGUGCACAUGGAGUAAUUGGUUCUCAACACUUUUAGAGGGUAAAUCAAAGUCUUUCAUUCUGCAUUCGUUGGGCACUGAAUUUUAAAGCCCCUGGAAUGUAAGUUUUUUCUGUUUACAUUUCAAGACAGCCAAGGGAUUCAAACAAUGGGGACCACUUAAAGACAAAGGCUGGCCUUAUCUUGGGCUGUUGGACACUUCCUGCUUGGAUAUAGGGGUGAAGCUAUUGGCUCUCAGAAAACACUUAGCUUGACCUGAUUGGACUGGAGAACAUGUUAAUGAGAAAUGUAGAUAGUGUAAACUUUCCACACACUCUGCAGUACAGCAAUGGAUUUAUGUAGCUCUAUUUUCUCACAAAUCUCAAAAUACUGCAACCAUUUUAAAAUGGGCUGCACCCACGUGAUAAACAGGGGCCAGUUCCUACAAGCUGACCACACGAUUGUGAAAGGGAUCUUAAAUUCUUGUUGAAUUAAGACAAUCAUGGCAAAACAUGUAAUUAAAAUUGAGUCUUCUCAGAGCAGUGCUUACUCUUGCCCUCUUGCUGUCUUGGUUUACUCACCGGUAUUUGAGAAUUGUUUACCAACUGAAAUCACUCAAAUUGUAGGCUUAAAUGAGUAAAGACAUUGUUAUGAUACAAGUAUAAACAGACCUGCACAUAUGUAUGAUUAGCUGACUUGACCACCACUGGUUUUCAAGAAAAGCACUCCAAGAGUCCCUGUUAUAUGAUGUGUUGUUCAGUAUAUAUGACACUAUAUGUGAUGAUUGAGAGGGAUUAUUUCAAAGUAGUCAAAGGGAAUGACACUUAAUGUACAGAGCAAUACUUUCUACAUCAGCUCUGAUUGUUACUGAAAAAUAUUCAGCACAUUGUGGUUCUCAGACAUUCUUUGGCCCUCUUUUCUCCCAGUUUGAAAUCCAGGUUAACAAUUUUCAUUCUCCUGUUGCUGGUGACUGUGAUGAGACCCGGUCAUCUUGGAUGACUCAGUCCCUCCCUUCCUGGGUGGUGCUGUGGGGUUUGAUGGCCAGAGUUGGCGCUAGGAUGAUCAGGAUCCAGUACCAGUUUACAUAUACAUCUUAGCUAUUUAGCAGACGUUGUUAUCCAGUUACAAACACAGCUUGCAUCACUUUUUUAUUUUUUCCUUCAUGCAAUCCCUUUAUAUAUAUGGCUAAAUGUCUCACUCAGUAGCAGUGUACCACCUGGAGUGGUCAACCCUACAACCCUUGAUUUGCAAGCCCAGCUCCCUGACUGUUACUGUAUGCUGUACUGCUGCCCCAGGACCAGACUGUGGGGCUCAUCCACACGUUAGAACAGUGCCCUGCGAAUGAGCUACCCACUACUUCCUUUCUUCGAAAUGAACAAAAAAAAACCUCCACAUGAAAUGUUUCUGCCGAUAAAUAUGUACUUGCCUCUUACUGCAUUUGGCUUUCAUGUGAUGUUGAUCUCAGUUACUCUGUUCAAAAUUGAGAGCAACUGUGGCCUGUCGUGUGCUACAAUUUUAAAUAGAAUGGAUAUUUUACCAUGUGAGUUUACCUCUGAUGAUUGCCAGCACUAAAUUUACGUUUUUGCGUUUUAGGGAACAGAACAAAAUAAGGACGUUUGUCAGUUCAGGCCACGGGGAGGUUCUCAUUUCACUUGUCCAUGACUAGGCUAUAUAGUGGAUAUGUAUAGACCGUGCGUCAGAGGGGGUGUGACAUGAGGAGGUGUGUCUCCACACUGUACCAAUGGUAAAACUUGGUAAAAAAAAAAAAAGAAAGUUGAACGCAGUGUAUGUGUGAGUAGUUUUUUUUGUGUAUGUUCAGAUGGUAGUGAAAACAGGAAAUAGACGGUUGGUGUUAGAACAUCUUUGCUCUUAUGACAUGUUGUUGCUGCCGCGUGUCCUUACACGGGUUCAUUCGUUUACGUAAGACGGAAAAAGGAGAGAACCAAUAAGAAUCAAAACGCCGAUGCCCAUUUGCAUUCAAAAUUGGCCCAAGGCCUGAGGAAACCGCUAGAAUGAGUGAAACAUCACAAUGGUGUUGAAGCAUUUCAGCGGUGCAGCGGUGUUCAUAAGAUAAAACAGUGUGGUUUCUUUUUCCUAACGUACAAAUUGUGGUUUAGUGUCUGCUGUGCCAUGGCACACAGGCACAGAAUCUGGCACUGGGAUAUGUUUGUGUGUAUGAGUUGGUUGUCAAAUACACGUGAAUGCUGGAAUAGCUACAGGGUCAUGAUAUUGGGUUUUUUUGGAUGGCUAGCAAUGUGCCUUCAGGAGCUGAAUCUCUUUGCUUCUUGCAUCACACUUACCAUUGUGAAUUGUUUGGAAAGCAGACAAUUCACCCAUCAGUAACAGCAGGUAGUGAACAGUUCCAGCACUGUAGGAUUCCUUUUAAGCUUUCAUUGAUCUGAAGGUAGCCUUAUGGCCUGAAACAUCUUGGGCAGCAAUGGAAUAGUCUUGGUAAAGUGGCAUGCAGGGAAGGUCUGCCUUGAUCCUGCAAGAUAAGGGGGAUAAUGUCCCAGAUAAAGUCAGAUAAGGUUUGCCAAAGAAACCAGUGGUGGACCAGCUCAUUCUGAUUCAAUUCACACACAUUACAGUGCCACAGGGGAUUCGUCUUUCUCAACAAGGCUCAACAAUAGAUAAAGACAAUGCAGUAAAAACCAGCUGUUGCAACAUUCUUAAAUGCAUUAAUGCUCUGACCUGCCAGAAUACUAAUUUUUCAAAGGAAUAUUUCAAUAUUGUGUUUGCCGUUUUAUGCAUCUGAAAUUAGGGAAGUUGAUUUAGACUUUGGCUGCAAUAUUGUUUCAUCACUGCAGGUUUGCAUGGACUGCGGAUGUUGUGUAAAGUUGCAGAAAUAUUCUUUUUUACCAAAUUACCUGUUGGCAUUAUUAAG